rnacentral:rRNA from 1 species
AACGUAGGACGCAAGCGUUAUCCGGAAUUACUGGGCGUAAAGCGCGUGUAGGCGGGUUGUUAAGUUCGGCGUGAAAGCUCCCGGCUAAACUGGGAGAGGUCGUCGGAUACUGGCAGUCUGGAGUAGGGUAGAGUGAUGUGGAAUUCCGGGUGUAGUGGUGAAAUGCGUAGAGAUCCGUAGGAACACCAGUGGUGAAGGCGGCAUCCUGGUCCGUAACUGACGCUGAGACGCGAUAGCAUGUGUAGCGAACGGG